CCUAUGUAGAGAAUUAAUCAAAAUGAGACUGUGUUACCUAAGCGAAGUUCUGAAAUGGAUUCUUUUCCUUAUGUAGAGCAUCAAGCAAAAAAAAAACUUCAGUGGGCUAGGCUUAAAGCAUCCCUGUCAAUUUAGAUUAUUUUUUUUGUUUUCCUUUCUCUUGUAUGGUAAUCAUUUUACUCCCCUCAUUGCCACUAGCUUUUAUUUAUAGUUGACUUUUAUUUCUUGUUGUAGAUUUCAAUAUCUGGGGGCCGCCAUUUUGUUGUCCUCUGCCCAUAAUGUCCUCUCUUCGUUUUACAGAUGGAUUUGGGGUAAAUGUGAUUGGCAACUGACACAGAACCUUGCUUUCUGCCCAUUGUCAAAUUCAGUCGACUUGACUGUUAAACAUAAGGAAAUGUAGUCCCUAAUAUUCCUUAUGUGUUUUUUGAAAACUACAGAAAUCAGAAUAAAUAAAUAAAAGAGAUUGAAGCACAGUGAACUAUAUGGACGCAGAUUACAUCAGGUUUAUUUUGGUGAUAGAGCUGCUUUCUGUUUCUGUUUCAUAUUUACCCACAAAUCAGUUAAAUGAAUCCCACAAAAUGGCAGCAGACAUCAUG